ACUGCACUAAUGUUGAGCAGCCAAGGGUGAAAAGCAAAUUAUUUGGAAAAGUUUCAAGACUGAAUGAUCACCAGGGAAAGGAUCAGAGCCUGACUCUUCUCCCUCAUGAAAGCUGCCAAGUCAUGCAAAAUGCAGGUUUUGUGGGAAGUAGCCCUUUCAAGGUUUUGACAUAUUGGGCAUUUUGGAUUUUAAAAAGGUAAUUUGAUGCCUAAGUUUCCUUUGAGAAUCCAGUUUGUUUAUACAUUUUUUAUUUUAUAUUCUGCUCUUUUUCAGCAUCAU